rnacentral:tRNA from 1 species
GGUAUAGUGCCUGAUUAAAGGACUACUUUGAUGAAGUAGAAAUGAGAGCUCUUCUCCUAUGCCA